AUUGAACGCUGGCGGCGGGCCUAACACAUGCAAGUCGAGCGGAUGAAGGGAGCUUGCUCCUGGAUUCAGCGGCGGACGGGUGAGUAAUGCCUAGGAAUCUGCCUGGUAGUGGGGGAUAACGUCCGGAAACGGGCGCUAAUACCGCAUACGUCCUGAGGGAGAAAGUGGGGGAUCUUCGGACCUCACGCUAUCAGAUGAGCCUAGGUCGGAUUAGCUAGUUGGUGGGGUAAAGGCCUACCAAGGCGACGAUCCGUAACUGGUCUGAGAGGAUGAUCAGUCACACUGGAACUGAGACACGGUCCAGACUCCUACGGGAGGCAGCAGGGGGGAAUAUUGGACAAUGGGCGAAAGCCUGAUCCAGCCAUGCCGCGUGUGUGAAGAAGGUCUUCGGAUUGUAAAGCACUUUAAGUUGGGAGGAAGGGCAGUAAGUUAAUACCUUGCUGUUUUGACGUUACCAACAGAAUAAGCACCGGCUAACUUCGUG
rnacentral:rRNA from 1 species